CCUAUUUUGACAGCUUUGGCAAAAUGGCUUCCCAAGGCUUGUGGGAAGGCUGUUUGGCGGGAAAUUAAUUUUUGAACUCAAACUUUGUGAAAAACUUCUUUUUAUUGUUUGUUUCAAUGACCCCAAAUUGACUGACUGUUUUAUGUACCAAUGUGUGGAUGAUAAAAGGAAAUUAACUGAAGGAUACUUUUGAAGAACUGUGGCGGUUUUAAAGCAACAUGGACAUCGACCGCCAUUAAACAUCACAGGAGUGGACAACUUUUAAGGGUCGAGGCAGAUUGCCGCCCCACGGCGAGCCUGGGUUGUACACCAAGUUUCAUCCUGUUAGAUGCAUUGCCGUGUUUUUGCUGAGUGCCCUGGGCGGCAUAAUCGUCAAAUCCAUCAACAGACUCACUUGGCAUCAGAUCAGCACGGCGCCCUUUGAAGGAAAUGGACGUCACUGCUUUAUCAAACAGACAAAGCGGAGAUCCCUUCCGGCGUGGAACAACUACUUUCACUGCACCCUCUCAGCAACACAAGUAGGGCCAGCCAAUCAGAGCAAGCCUGCCAGGGAAAAACAGCAAAAGCACUCAAGACAAGGACAGGAGAAAACAGGCAAGUAAACCUGCAGAACACACACUCCCCAAACUUCACUCCGCUCCAAAACUACCUCCCAGCAAACAAUCAAGAAAUGCCUCACACACGCAAAAUGCAGGUGGAAUGAGGUUAUUAAUGAUUAUAAACGUUACAUCAUUAUUUGUGUUCAUCAAAAGGGCAUA